UUUCCAUAGGUGAACCUGCGGAAGGAUCAUUCAUGAUAAGGUGUUUUAUUGCACUUUUUAAACAUUCAUAUCCGCCUUUUGUGCAAUGUUAGAUCUCGUCAAUCUUGGCGAGAUUUUUAUACAUCAACUCAUUAUUUAACUAAUUUGUCUGAAAACUAUUAUGAAAACUUAAUUCAAAAUACAACUUUCAACAACGGAUCUCUUGGCUCUC
rnacentral:misc_RNA from 1 species